rnacentral:rRNA from 1 species
GACGAACGCUGGCGGCGUGCUUAACACAUGCAAGUCGUACGGUAAGGCCCUUUCGGGGGUACACGAGUGGCGAACGGGUGAGUAACACGUGAGUAACCUGCCCACAACUUUGGGAUAACGCUAGGAAACUGGUGCUAAUACUGGAUAUGUGCUCCUGCUGCAUGGUGGGGGUUGGAAAGCUCCGGCGGUUGUGGAUGGACUCGCGGCCUAUCAGCUUGUUGGUGGGGGAGUGGCCUACCAAGGCGGCGACGGGUAGCCGGCCUGGGAGGGUGACCGGCCACAUUGGGACUGAGAUACGGCCCAGACUCCUACGGGAGGCAGCAGUGGGGAAUAUUGCACAAUGGGCGCAAGCCUGAUGCAGCAACGCCGCGUGCGGGAUGACGGCCUUCGGGUUGUAAACCGCUUUCAGCAGGGACGAAGCUUUUUGUGACGGUACCUGCAGAAGAAGCACCGGCUAACUACGUG